rnacentral:rRNA from 1 species
AUUGAACGCUGGCGGCAUGCCUAACACAUGCAAGUCGAGCGAGUGGCGCACGGGUGAGUAAUAUAUGGGAACGUGCCUGAUCGUGGGGGAUAACUGCUGGAAAGGGUAGCUAAUACCGCAUACCAUUGGAUGUGCCCAGACGGGAUUAGCUAGUUGGUGAGGUAACGGCUCACCUAGGCGACGAUCGGUAGCUGGUCUGAGAGGACGACCAGCCACACUGGAACUGAGACACGGUCCAGACUCCUACGGGAGGCAGCAGUGGGGAAUAUUGCACAAUGGGCGCAAGCCUGAUGCAGCCAUGCCGCGUGUGUGAAGAAGGCCUUCGGGUUGUAAAGCACUUUCAGCGAGGAGGCGUUACUCGCAGAAGAAGCACCGGCUAACUCCGUGCCAGCAGCCGCGGUAAUUC